rnacentral:rRNA from 1 species
UACGGGGGAUGCAAGCGUUAUCCGGAUUUAUUGGGUUUAAAGAGUGCGUAGGCUGUGAGGUAAGUCAGCGGUGAAAUGCCCCCGCUCAACGGGGUGAAGUGCCAUUGAUACUGCCUUGCUGGAAUGCGGAUGCCGUGGGAGGAAUGUGUGGUGUAGCGGUGAAAUGCAUAGAUAUCACACAGAACACCGAUUGCGAAGGCAUCUCACGAAUCCGCGAUUGACGCUGAUGCACGAAAGCGUGGGUAUCAAACAGG